rnacentral:rRNA from 1 species
GACGAACGCUGGCGGCGUGCUUAACACAUGCAAGUCGAACGAUGAACCCGGGGCUUGCUCCGGUGGAUUAGUGGCGAACGGGUGAGUAACACGUGAGUAACCUGCCCUUGACUCUGGGAUAACUGCGGGAAACUGUAGCUAAUACCGGAUACGUCCCUCGGCGGCAUCGCCAGGGGGUGGAAAGAAUUUCGGUCAAGGAUGGACUCGCGGCCUAUGAGCUAGUUGGUGAGGUAACGGAUCACCAAGGCGACGACGGGUAGCCGGCCUGAGAGGGGGACCGGCCACACUGGGAAGGAGACCCGACCCAGACUCCUACGGGAGACAGGAGUUGGGAAGAGUGCACAAUGGGCGCAAGCCUGAUGCAGAAACGGCGCGUGAGGGAUGACGGCCUUCGGGUUGUAAACCUCUUUUAGUAGGGAAGAAGCGAAAGUGACGGUACCUGCAGAAAAAGCACCGGCUAACUACGUGCCAGCAGCCGCGGUAA